CCUACGGGAGGCUGCAGUGAGGAAUAUUGGUCACUGGACGCAAGACUGAACCAGCCAUGCCGCGUGCAGGAAGACGGCUCUAUGAGUUGUCAACUGCUUUUGUACGAGGGUAAACGCAGAUACGCGUAUCUGUCUGAAAGUAUAGUACGAGUAAGGAUCGGCUAACUCAGUGCCAGCAGCCGCGGUAAUCCGGAGGAUUCAAGCGUUAUCCGGAUUUAUUGGGGUUAAAGGGUGCGUAGGCGGUCGGAGAAGUUAGAGGUGAAAGCCCGAGGCUCAACUUCGGAAUUGCCGCUGAUACUGUUCGGCUAGAGAGUAGUUGCGGUAGGCGGAAUGUAUGGUGUAGCGGUGAAAUGCUUAGAGAUCAUACAGAACACCGAUUGCGAAGGUAGCUUACCAAGCUACUUCUGACGUUGAGGCACGAAAGCGUGGGGAGCAAACAGGAGUAGAUACCCCUGUAGUC
rnacentral:rRNA from 1 species